AUGCAGGAUCGGGGUAUGGAGCAAACGGAAGAGGCGGUGAGCGCGAGCCCGGCGCGGAUGCUUACCGCCGCCGCCGAGCAGCAGGGCGACGCGGCGACGUGGCUCAACCUCACGCUGGGCGUGAACUGCUCACAGCCGGCGGAGGAGGACUCCUCGUCGUACUCGGACGAAGAGCCGGCGGCCAAGCACAAGCAGGAGCACCCGCCGACGCCUCCUCCGGCUGCCGCGGCAGCGCCGACGCCGCCCCACAAGGUGUUCUCGUGCAACUUCUGCAUGAGGAAGUUCUUCAGCUCGCAGGCGCUGGGCGGACACCAGAACGCGCACAAGCGGGAGCGCAGCGCGGCCAAGCGCUCGUCGUCGCUGUCCUACCACCACGCGCACCACCAGCGGAUGGUCAUGGCCGGCCUGCCGCUCGAGGCGCACGCCGCGAUCGUGCGCGUCCUCAGGGUCAACCCGGCGAGCUCGGCGAUCAACAAGCCGGCCCGGCAAGAGGCCACGGCGCCGAGGCUCCACGAUGGCGUGGUUGGCCCGUGGCCGCCGCUCGUCUACGAGGAGGUGCUCGGCUCCACGUCGUGGCCGGGGAGCUUCAGAAUGAGGACGCAGACGGAGCCACCUACCUCGGAACAGCAGCUGCUGCCAGAGCAAACUAAGAAGAUGGAUUUGAGCCUUAGGCUGUGA
rnacentral:rRNA from 1 species